GACGAACGCUGGCGGCGGGCUUAACACAUGCAAGUCGAACGGAAAGGCCCUGCUUUUGUGGGGUUCUCGAGUGGCGAACGGGUGAGUAACACGUGAGUAACCUGCCCUUGACUUUGGUAGAACUUCAGGAAACUGGAGCUAAUACCAGAUAGGAGCUGCUGCUGGAUGGUGGGGGUUGGAAAUUCUCGGCGGGUGGGGAUGGACUCGCGGCUUAUCAGCUUGUUGGUGGGGUAGUGGCUUACCAAGGCUGUGACGGGUAGCCGGCCUGAGAGGGUGACCGGCCACAUUGGGACUGAGAUACGGCCCAGACUCCUACGGGAGGCAGCAGUGGGGAAUAUUGCCCAAUGGGCGGAAGCCUGAUGCAGCAACGCCGCGUGCGGGAUGACGGCCUUCGGGUUGUAAACCGCUUUCGCCUGUGACGAAGCGUGAGUGACGGUAAUGGGUAAAGAAGCACCGGCUAACUACGUG
rnacentral:rRNA from 1 species